rnacentral:rRNA from 1 species
UACGUAGGGUGCGAGCGUUAAUCGGAAUUACUGGGCGUAAAGCGUGCGCAGGCGGUUUUGUAAGCCAGAUGUGAAAUCCCCGGGCUUAACCUGGGAAUGGCAUUUGGGACUGCAAGGCUGGAGUGCGGCAGAGGAGACUGGAAUUCCUGGUGUAGCAGUGAAAUGCGUAGAUAUCAGGAGGAAUACCGAUGGCGAAGGCAGGUCUCUGGGCUGACACUGACGCUCAUGCACGAAAGCGUGGGGAGCAAA